UUGUGAAUCCAGAGGCAUUUUCAGUCACCGGGUUUUUGGAUAGUCGAAUAAAAAAGAAGUUAUCGUCAUGCGAAGGUGGACUGAAAGCACUGUCAUCGAAAUCGUAUCUGAAAAUAAAAGAGUCAUGCGCGACUAUCUAAAAAUACGAGAUCUCGUGACUGCUAAACAGGCCAAGUCAUCGAUGCACGCCUUCUUGGAGCUACAAUGACGCUGACACGCGCAAUAUAACGCCUAAAUGAACUGUGUUCGUCUCUCCAAUUUUUUUAUUUUUUUUUUACAUUAAAACAAUAAAAGAACUCUAUUUAAGAAAAAUAUAGUCUACCAGUCACUCAUUAAUCAAUUAGUCACUUUAAUAAAUAAAAUUACUAUUUUAUAUUAUUGCAAAAAACAAGAAAUGUAAGCUCUUUAUCUUCCUCGUUAAAGAAUCUGUUGAUAAGAGUAAUAGAUUCACUUCUUGGAAAUUCAUCACUGACCAAAUAUUCAACAAGAAUGUAAAAAUUAUGAGUAUACAGUUUGUUAUUGUUUUGCUUCACAAAUUAUUUAAUUUGGAAUUAUUUGCGCAAUUCAGAUCUUGACACGAAGUAACCUUCGCGAUAAAUUCUAACAGAUGUGAGCCUUAAAAUGUAAACAUAUAAUUAUACUGGGAAAAUAAUAUAUCUAUCACAUUGGAAUAUUGAAUUAAUUAACAUUAUUAAAGAAAUAGCUUAAAAACGAGAAAAAAGAAAAAGAAAAAAUAUACUAAUUAAAAAAACAAGACAAAUGUCAAGCUGCUGACAAAAAUUAGUCAUAAUAAAACGGAGUGAAACUAAGAGAACAUGUUUUAUGUAACAAUAUGUGCAUGUAUUUCAUGUAUACUGUAUGUAUUAUUUUUAUCACGUGAACUUCAGAUUUUUCCGCUUUUAAAAUGAGAUACGAAGAUGAAUAAAAAAGUAAAUGAUCAAACCAGACUUGAAAAAACUAUGAAAAAAUUCACUUCUUUUUAGAAUUAAUAUUAAUUUAGUUGUGGAUUUUUUACGGAUAACUUUAUGAAAAACCAAAUACAAUUUUGACAUUGUCCUACAUUUUUUAACUCUCAUUCUUAUUAUUUGUCCGAAUAAAAAAUAUAAUUGAAGUGAAUAUUUCUUUCUUGUGUCGAAACGUAUAAUUAUAAUAUCGGUUCAUUAACCGUCAAUAUUAAUAUUCAUAUCAAUAAUAAUUCCCAAGUUUUUAUCAUUCAAAUGAACGAAAAAUUUUU